AUUGAACGCUGGCGGCAGGCCUAACACAUGCAAGUCGAGCGAGUGGCGGACGGGUGAGUAAUGCUUGGGAAUCUGGCUUAUGGAGGGGGAUAACGACGGGAAACUGUCGCUAAUACCGCGUACCAUAGGAUGAGCCCAAGUGGGAUUAGGUAGUUGGUGGGGUAAUGGCCUACCAAGCCGACGAUCUCUAGCUGGUCUGAGAGGAUGACCAGCCAAACCGGGACUGAGACACGGCCCGGACUCCUACGUGAGGCAGCAGUGGGGAAUCUUCCGCAAUGGACGAAAGUCUGACGGAGCAACGCCGCGUGUCUGAAGAAGGCCUUCGGGUUGUAAAGGACUUUUGUCAGGGAAGCGGUACCUGAAGAAUAAGCACCGGCUAACUACGUGCCAGCAGCCGCGGUAAUAC
rnacentral:rRNA from 1 species